UGAAAUGGUUCAAGUCUUACUUGCAACAG
rnacentral:sRNA from 1 species